ACGAACGCUGGCGGCGUGCUUAACACAUGCAAGUCGAACGGUGAAGCGCCUUCCUUUUUGGUGGGUGUGGAUGAGUGGCGAACGGGUGAGUAACACGUGAGUAACCCGCCCCCUUCUUCUGGAUAACCGCAUGAAAGUGUGGCUAAUACGGGAUAUUCUGGGUCUGUCGCAUGAUGGGUCUGGGAAAGAUAUUGUUUCGGUGGGGGAUGGGCUCGCGGCCUAUCAGCUUGUUGGUGGGGUGAUGGCCUACCAAGGCGGUGACGGGUAGCCGGCCUGAGAGGGUGGACGGUCACACUGGGACUGAGACACGGCCCAGACUCCUACGGGAGGCAGCAGUGGGGAAUAUUGCACAAUGGGCGCAAGCCUGAUGCAGCGACGCCGCGUGAGGGAUGGAGGCCUUCGGGUUGUGAACCUCUUUCGCCAGUGAAGCAGGCCUGCCUCGUUUGUGGGUGGGUUGACGGUAGCUGGAUAAGAAGCGCCGGCUAACUACGUG
rnacentral:rRNA from 1 species